UCACGUGGCUGCGACUCCACCCUUGGUAACUGACGGAGACGCGGAGGUACAUGGGUGCCACUCCACAUUUCCAACACUCAGUUGAAUAUACAUCAUUGGGGCUGCGAGGAUAAACGCUAAUCAUGAACACUUUACUUCUAGCGGGACUAAUAUUCGCAUUAAUUGCGUUAUGUAGUGCGUCUACUACCACCGUGGCUACCGAACCCACAACUACGGCUCCGCCGGUCACAACUACCAAUGCAGCGACGACUUCCGGCGGAACUGCCGCCACAACUACCGGAGCGGCCGGAACUACCGCUGGCAAUAAUGGCACGACUCCUAACUCUUCAUCGAUGACUCUCGCAUCACUUAUCACAGUGUCCCUGUCUCUUCUGGUUGUUCGGAUGUGUUAAAGAACCAUUCACACAAUCGCCGGAAUCGUCGCCCCAUCCGUCACAAAGCGUUGUCUGUGAUCUCAACAUUGCAUGCUCUUAUCUUAAAUCCAGUUACAAAUAAUGUUUUUAUUUAUAAAGAUAUAAAUUACAAAUUAAUUUAUUUACAUUAAUUAAUUCAGACUUGUUUUAUGAUUUAUAUUGACUUUUAUGCAAUUAACGUUGUUUUUGUUAACCACACGAAGCUAAAUAACACAGCUUUAAACAAGUUUAAGGAAGUUUUUUAUCAAAUCUUCUUUUCUUGAAAAAAAACGUGUAAUUUCAUUAAAUAUUGUAUUGUUUUCGAGCAUAUUUGAAAAAGUAUUGUUUAUGACUGCCGAUGUAUAUUUGUAAAUCACUUACCAAGGUUAACACUCAUCUAAAAAAUGAGCAAAAAUUCAAAAUUGAGUCAAAAUAUCGACUUAAGUAUGUUUGUGAUACUAGGCCAUGAACUUGUGAUAAAUCUAUUCAAGUUGAACGUACAUUUAUUUCCUGUGAGUCACCUUAUAUAAAGGUCAUACUUUAUAUGAAGAGGCAUUCGUUUUGUCUGGACAUUUCUUGAAAUUUCACAAUGGCCGUCUUAAAAUAGACCAGUACGUGUGCGCAUGCGUGGACUCUAAAAUUGGAAUCGAUGAAGUGAUCAAAUCACUGAACAGAAACAAUUUAGAUCUACGUAACGCUUUGCUUAACUUUAUUAUUUUGUGUUUGUAAAAUGCGUACGCAUUAUUUUAUGUCAGUAAUUUAAUAAAUAUAUAACGGAAAGGA